ACAUGGCCGACGAUGGUCAAAGUGUAGUAUCUGUUCUUAUCAGCUGAAUAUCUGAUACGGGUUGUAUUUGGACCCAAGAUAUUAAACUUAUUUUUGCAAGUUGGCGGAGCGCUUGAAGCCUGCUUCCCCUCCGUCGCGGGCCUUCCCGGUUUUGCACAGUCUUCGGGAUUUUUGGUCUACGGACA